rnacentral:snRNA from 2 species
AUUGCUUCUUGGCCUUUUGGUUAAGAUCAAGUAUAGUAUCUGUUCUUGUCAGUUUAAAAUUGACCAUGUGCUGCUUAAAUUUUGAUUACAGACACAAGUUAAUAAUUGCUGACAUAUUUAAAGCAAAGCCUAA